rnacentral:rRNA from 1 species
UACGGAGGGUGCAAGCAUUGAUCGGAAUUACUGGGCGUAAAGGGCUCGUAGGCGGCCAACUAAGUCGGAUGUGAAAUCCCCAGGCUUAACCUGGGAACUGCAUCCGAUACUGGAUGGCUUGAAUCCGGGAGAGGGAUGCAGAAUUCCAGGUGUAGCGGUGAAAUGCGUAGAUAUCUGGAGGAAUACCGGUGGCGAAGGCGGCAUCCUGGACCGGCAUUGACGCUGAUGAGCGAAAGCUAGGGGAGCAAACGGG